rnacentral:rRNA from 1 species
GCGUAUAUUAAAGUUGUUGCAGUUAAAAAGCUCGUAGUUGAAAUUCCGGCGUCUUUGGACGUCUGCCUGGAAGAACUAGCGGUACCGUAAAAAGUUUUGCUUUUUUGAACAGGCUUUUACUGUGAACAAAUUAAAGUGCUCAAAGCAGGCUUUUGCUUGAAUAUUCUAGCAUGGAAUAAUAAAAUAUGGCUUUAUUCAUUUUAUUGGUUAUUGAAUGAAGUAAUGAUUAAUAGGAACAGUUGGGGGCAUUCGUAUUUAAUAGUCAGAGGUGAAAUUCUUAGAUUUAUUAAAGACGAACUAAAGCGAAAGCAUUUGCCAAGGAUGUUUUCAUUAAUCAAGAACGAAAGUUAGGGGAUCAAAGACGAUUAGAUACCGUCGUAGUCCUAACUAUAGACUAUACCGACUAGGGAUUGGUGAGGUAGACCCUCAUCAGGAUCUAAUGAGAAAUCAAAGUCUUUGGGUUCUUGGGGGAGUAUGGUCGCAAGGCUGAAACUUAAAGGAAUUGACGGAAGGGCACUACCAGGAGUGGAGUCUGCGGCUUAAUUUGAUUCAACACGGGAAAACUUACCAGGGCAAAAAACUGAUAGGAUUGACAGCUUGAUAGCGCUUUCUUGAUCCGGUAGCAAGUGGUGCAUGGCCGUUCUUAGUUGGUGGAGUGAUUUGUCAGGUUAAUUCCCUUAACGAACGAGACCUUAACCUGCUAAAUAGAAGUAGGUUUAAUUUAACUAUAUUCUUCUUAGAAGGACUACUGUUUCGAAAAGACAGUGGAAGUUUGAGGCAAUAACAGGUCCGUGAUGCCCUUA